rnacentral:lncRNA from 1 species
AAUCGUGCGUUGGCUUACUGGCCCGACCCUUUGCUGUUUAAAGACUCCAUUGUUGGAGUAGCACUUUGAUUUGUUCCGUAUCCUUGUGAAGGUGAUCGUUGUCUGAAAUAACCGGGAUUUCUGGAGUUUGCCCGUGGAGAUGCUAACCGUUGUCUUUGGGGACUAUAUGAUCUCUACCUUAGUGGGUGUGUUGCUGAUCGAUAGGCAUUAAGCUUGGGUGUAAUCUAUCAGGCGAUCUACCGCGAAUGUAUUGCUCAGGAGAUCCUCCAUGUGUAUAUUGAUCAGGUGAUCUUCCAUGAUUAUUUGAUCAGAAAAUCCGAGGUUAUACUGAUC